rnacentral:tRNA from 1 species
UCCCUGGUGGCUUAGUUGGUAAAGAAACUGCCUGCAAUGCAGGAAACCUGGGUUUGAUCCCUGGGUUGGGAG